rnacentral:rRNA from 1 species
GUCGAGCGGCAGUGGGGAGUAGCUUGCUACUCUGCCGGCGAGCGGCGGACGGGUGAGUAAUGCCUGGGAAUUUGCCCAUUCGAGGGGGAUAACAGUUGGAAACGACUGCUAAUACCGCAUACGCCCUAAGGGGGAAAGCAGGGGAACUUAGGUCCUUGCGCGAAUGGAUAAGCCCAGGUGGGAUUAGCUAGUAGGUGGGGUAACGGCUCACCUAGGCGACGAUCCCUAGCUGGUCUGAGAGGAUGACCAGCCACACUGGAACUGAGACACGGUCCAGACUCCUACGGGAGGCAGCAGUGGGGAAUAUUGCACAAUGGGCGCAAGCCUGAUGCAGCCAUGCCGCGUGUAUGAAGAAGGCCUUCGGGUUGUAAAGUACUUUCAGCGAGGAGGAAGGUGUUGAGGUUAAUAACCUCAGCAAUUGACGUUACUCGCAGAAGAAGCACCGGCUAACUCCGUGCCAGCAGCCGCGGUAAUACGGAGGGUGCAAGCGUUAAUCGGAAUUACUGGGCGUAAAGCGCACGCAGGCGGUCUGUCAAGUCGGAUGUGAAAUCCCCGGGCUCAACCUGGGAACUGCAUUCGAAACUGGCAGGCUAGAGUCUUGUAGAGGGGGGUAGAAUUCCAGGUGUAGCGGUGAAAUGCGUAGAGAUCUGGAGGAAUACCGGUGGCGAAGGCGGCCCCCUGGACAAAGACUGACGCUCAGGUGCGAA